rnacentral:rRNA from 1 species
UGUCAGCAGCCGCGGUAAUACGUAGGGUGCGAGCGUUAAUCGGAAUUACUGGGCGUAAAGCGUGCGCAGGCGGUUGUGCAAGACAGAUGUGAAAUCCCCGGGCUUAACCUGGGAAUUGCAUUUGUGACUGCACGGCUAGAGUGUGUCAGAGGGGGGUAGAAUUCCACGUGUAGCAGUGAAAUGCGUAGAUAUGUGGAGGAAUACCGAUGGCGAAGGCAGCCCCCUGGGAUAACACUGACGCUCAUGCACGAAAGCGUGGGGAGCAAACAGGAUUAGAUACCCUGGUAGUCCACGCCCUAAACGAUGUCUACUAGUUGUCGGGUCUUAAUUGACUUGGUAACGCAGCUAACGCGUGAAGUAGACCGCCUGGGGAGUACGGUCGCAAGAUUAAAACUCAAAGGAAUUGGCGG